rnacentral:rRNA from 1 species
CCAACCGGGAUUCCCUGAGUAAGGGCGACUGAAAGGGGAUGAGCCCAGCGCAUAACCUCGCGGUGUUUUUGUGGCCGACGAGGGGUGUUGCGUUUCGGUGGAUCCGUACCGCUCGAGUUGCUGACCGCCUAAGUGAUUGCUUGAAUGCAGCCCCUAGGAGGGUGGUAGGCCCGUGUGGCGGCGCCUGUAAGAAGGUUUGUGGCAACUUGGGCGGAGGGAUGUUUACCGUAGAGUCGGGUUGCUUAGUACUGCAGCCCUAAGUAGGUGGUAAACUCCAUCUAAGGCUAAAUACUACCACGAGUCCGAUAUUUGACAAGUACCGUGAGGGAAAGCUGAAAAGGACUCUGAAGAGAGAGUUCAAGAGGACGUGAAACCAUUAGAAGGUGAAACGGGUGGAACCGUGAAGGUAGAAAGAGGGGAUUCAGGUCGUGGGCUUAGACUAGGCUGCUUGGCUAGUAUUGAGAGAUUGGGACCCGGCUUAGUGUUUGAUUGCCGUGGCGGCCAUGCAGCGUAGGAUUUGCCGGCGGUCUUAGUUGUCCCUCGAGUAUACUGAGUGGCGACCCGCUGUUCGGACCCCGAGGUACCUCUGGACUGGUAGCCUGCAGCGUUGUUGUAGGUGAUGACCCUAUGGGGUAUUUUGAAGGUGCGAGCGGCGGUCACUGCNACGAGGCGUUGAGAGANAUGCCUCUCGCCAUGUUGUGGGNAUCGG